GGUCAGGAUGAACGCUGGCGGCGUGCCUAACACAUGCAAGUCGAACGGAGAUAAGCGGAGAGCUUGCUUCUGCAUAUCUUAGUGGCGGACGGGUGAGUAACGCGUGGGUAACCUACCCUGUACAGGGGGAUAGCAGCUGGAAACGGCUGAUAAAACCGCAUAAAACGGCAGUACCGCAUGGUACAACCGUCAAAUAUUUAUAGGUACAGGAUGGGCCCGCGUCUGAUUAGCCAGUUGGUGGGGUAACGGCCUACCAAAGCAACGAUCAGUAGCCGGCCUGAGAGGGUGAACGGCCACAUUGGGACUGAGACACGGCCCAAACUCCUACGGGAGGCAGCAGUGGGGAAUAUUGGACAAUGGGGGGAACCCUGAUCCAGCGACGCCGCCGUGAGUGAAGAAGUAUUUCGGUAUGUAAAGCUCUAUCAGCAGGGAAGAUGAUGACGGUACCUGACUAAGAAGCACCGGCUAAAUACGUGCCAGCAGCUGC
rnacentral:rRNA from 1 species